CCUACGGGAGGCAGCAGUGGGGAAUAUUGCACAAUGGGGGAAACCCUGAUGCAGCGACGCCGCGUGCGUGAAGAAGUAAUUCGUUAUGUAAAGCUCUAUCAGCAGGGAAGAAAAUGACGGUACCUGAGUAAGAAGCCCCGGCUAACUCCGUGCCAGCAGCCGCGGGAAUACGUAGGGGGCCAGCGUUAUCCGGAUUUACUGGGUGUAAAGGGAGCGUAGACGGCAGUGCAAGUCUGGAGUGAAAGGCGGGGGCUCAACCCCCGGGCUGCUCUGGAUACUGUAGGGCUGGAGAGCAGGAGAGGUAAGUGGAAUGUCUAGUGUAGCGGUGAAAUGCAUAGAUAUUAGGAAGAACACCAGUGGCGAAGGCAGCUUACUGGACUGGAACUGACGUUGAGGCUCGAAAGCGUGGGGAGCAAACAGGAUUAGAUACCCGAGUAGUC
rnacentral:rRNA from 1 species